AUUGAACGCUGGCGGCAGGCCUAACACAUGCAAGUCGAACGAGUGGCGGACGGGUGAGUAAUGUAUGGGAAACUGCCCGAUGGAGGGGGAUAACUACUGGAAACGGUAGCUAAUACCGCAUACCAUCGGAUGUGCCCAGAUGGGAUUAGCUAGUAGGUGGGGUAACGGCUCACCUAGGCGACGAUCCCUAGCUGGUCUGAGAGGAUGAUCAGCCAAACUGGAACUGAGACACGGUCCAGACUCCUACGGGAGGCAGCAGUGGGGAAUAUUCGACAAUGGGCGAAAGCCUGAUGCAGCCAUGCCGCGUGUAUGAAGAAGGUCUUCGGGUUGUAAAGUACUUUCAGCGAGGAGGCGUUACUCGCAGAAGAAGCACCGGCUAACUCCGUGCCAGCAGCCGCGGUAAUAC
rnacentral:rRNA from 1 species